UUUGAAGUCGAUUACUACUCCAGCUGC
rnacentral:piRNA from 1 species